AACGAACGCUGGCGGCAUGCCUAACACAUGCAGGUCGAACGAGACCUUCGGGUCUAGUGGCGCACGGGUGCGUAACGCGUGGGAACCUGCCCUUAGGUUCGGAAUAACUCCCCGAAAGGGGUGCUAAUACCGGAUAAUGUCUUCGGACCAAAGAUUUAUCGCCUUUGGAUGGGCCCGCGUUGGAUUAGCUAGUUGGUAGGGUAAAAGCCUACCAAGGCGACGAUCCAUAGCUGGUCUGAGAGGAUGAUCAGCCACACUGGGACUGAGACACGGCCCAGACUCCUACGGGAGGCAGCAGUGGGGAAUAUUGGACAAUGGGCGAAAGCCUGAUCCAGCAAUGCCGCGCGAGUGAUGAAGGCCUUAGGGUUGUAAAGCUCUUUUACCCGGGAUGAUAAUGACAGUACCGGGAGAAUAAGCUCCGGCUAACUCCGUG
rnacentral:rRNA from 1 species